rnacentral:rRNA from 1 species
GACAGAGGUGCCAAGCGUUAGGCGGAAUCACUGGGCUUAAAGCGCGUGUAGGCGGGUGGGAACGUCGGCCGCUGAAAUCCCCCGGCUCAACCGGGGAAGGGGCGCCGAAACGGCCCGCCUGGAGGGACGUAGGGGGAGCUGGAACUUCCGGUGGAGCGGUGAAAUGCGUUGAGAUCGGAAGGAACGCCCGUGGCGAAAGCGAGCUCCUGGACGUUUUCUGACGCUGAGACGCGAAAGCCAGGGGAGCGAACGGG